GGAGAGCUGUCCGAGAGGUCGAAGGAGCACGAUUGGAAAUCGUGUAGGCUGCUACAGCGGUCUCGAGGGUUCGAAUCCCUCGCUCUCCGCCA
rnacentral:tRNA from 1 species